AUAAUGGAUACAUUUAAUUCACUUGGUUUUAAUGUGUAUGGGGGGAGGAAUGCACCAUAUGUAUGGGUUCACUUCCCUGGCCGGAGUUCAUGGGAUGUAUUUAGUGAGAUUCUUGAGAAGACUCACGUUGUUACCACACCUGGAAGUGGAUUUGGACCUGGUGGUGAAGGUUUUAUCAGGGUUAGUGCUUUUGGUCACAGGGACAAUGUAUUAGAAGCCUGCAGAAGGUUCAAGCAGCUCUACAAGUGAACCUGCUUUACUCUUUCAUUAGUUGUAUUGAUCAUUUCAAAUAAUGAAAUGCAAAAUAUUUAGCAAUUGUAGAAGGCUAACCUCAUUGUUUUGGAGGUCUAGAUUUUUCUGUGGCAUUGUUGCUUGUCUCAAAAUUGUAACAUUUCAGCAAAUUUGUGGUUUCCAAAAUGUUUUUUU
rnacentral:misc_RNA from 1 species